UACGUAGGGUGCAAGCGUUGUCCGGAAUUAUUGGGCGUAAAGAGCUCGUAGGCGGUUUGUUGCGUCGGCUGUGAAAUCCCGAGGCUCAACCUCGGGUCUGCAGUCGAUACGAGCAAACUAGAGUGUUGCAGGGGAGACUGGAAUUCCUGGUGUAGUGGUGGAAUGCGUAGAGAGUCCGGAGGAACACCAGCGGCGAAGGCGGCAUCCUGGACUGGUACUGACGCUCAUGAGCGAAAGCGAUGGGGA
rnacentral:rRNA from 1 species